rnacentral:rRNA from 1 species
CUAAGUUUGAUGGCGGCCGGCGCACGGGUGAGUAACACGUAUCCAACCUGCCGAUGACUCGGGGAUAGCCUUUCGAAAGAAAGAUUAAUACCCGAUGGCAUAGUUCUUCCGCAUGGUAGAACUAUUAAAGAAUUUCGGUCAUCGAUGGGGAUGCGUUCCAUUAGGUUGUUGGCGGGGUAACGGCCCACCAAGCCUUCGAUGGAUAGGGGUUCUGAGAGGAAGGUCCCCCACAUUGGAACUGAGACACGGUCCAAACUCCUACGGGAGGCAGCAUG